rnacentral:rRNA from 1 species
GACGAACUGUCCUAACGUUGUUCGGAAUCACUGGGCUUAAAGGGCGCGUAGGCGGUCCGACAAGUCAGGGGUGAAAUCCUGCAGCUUAACUGCAGAAGUGCCUUUGAUACUGUCGGUCUUGAGGGAGAUAGGGGUGUGCGGAACCCACAGUGGAGCGGUGAAAUGCGUUGAUAUUGUGAGGAACGCCGGAGGCGAAAGCGGCGCACUGGAUCUCUUCUGACGCUGAGGCGCGAAAGCUAGGGGAGCAAACGGG